rnacentral:rRNA from 1 species
AUCAAAUGAAGAAAAGCUUACGGUGGAUACCUAGGCAUCCAGAGACGAUGAAGGGCGUGGAAACCGACGAAACGCUUCGAGGAGUUGGAAACAAGCUAUGAUUCGAAGAUUCCCGAAUAGGGCAACCUCUUGUACUGCCUAUUGAAUUCAUAGAUAGGUUAGAGAUAACCCGGUGAAUUGAAACAUCUUAGUAGCCGGAGGAAAAAAAAGCAAACGCGAUUCCCGUAGUAGCGGCGAGCGAACUGGGACCAGCCUAAACCAACUCGAAAUUCGAGUUGGGGUUGUGGGAAGAAAUAAAAAAUAUUAGACUCCUCUUGUUACCAUGUUUGAUGGUUAGAUUCGAAUAGAAUUCUCACCCUACCAUUGAAAAUGGUAGAGGAGAACUUUGUUCGAGUCAUGAGGAGAAAAAUUUAGUUAGACGAAGCAGCUGAAUCCUGCACCAAAGAUGGUGAAAGUCCAGUAGUUGAAAGCUAAAUGCUAAUAAUUUUUCUUAUCCCGAGUAGCAUGGGGCACGUGAAAUCCCGUGUGAAUCCACGAGGACCACCUCGUAAGGCUAAAUACUUCUGGGUGACCGAUAGUGAAAUAGUACCGCGAGGGAAAGGUGAAACAGAACCCCUGUAGGGGAGUGAAAUAGAACAUGAAACCGUAAGCUGACAAGCAGUGGGAGGACAAAAAGUCUGACCGCGUGCCUGUUGAAGAAUGAGCCGGCGACUUAUAGGGAGUGGCUUGGUUAAAGAAAAACAUCUGAAGCCAAAGCGAAAGCAAGUCUGAAAAGGGCGAAAAAGUCACUUCUUAUGGACCCGAACCCGGGUGAUCUAACCAUGACCAGGAUGAAGCUUGGGUAAGACCAAGUGGAAGUCCGAACCGACCGAUGUUGAAAAAUCGGCGGAUGAGUUGUGGUUAGGGGUGAAAUGCCAAUCGAACUCGGAGCUAGCUGGUUCUCCCCGAAAUGCGUUGAGGCGCAGCGGUUGACGAAUUGGGCUGUCUAGGGGUAAAGCACUGUUUCGGUGCGGGCUGCGAGAGCGGUACCAAAUCGUAGCAAACUAAGAAUACUAGAUACUGCUUUCCGUCAACCAGUGAGACAGUGGGGGAUAAGCUUCAUUGUCGAGAGGGAAACAGCCCAGAUCAUCAGCUAAGGCCCCUAAAUGACUGCUAAGUGGCAAAGGAGGUGAGAAUGCACAGACAACCAGGAGGUUUGCUUAGAAGCAGCCACCCUUAAAAGAGUGCGUAAUAGCUCACUGGUUGAGCGUUUUUGCGCCGAAAAUGAACGGGACUAAGCAGUCUGCCGAAGCUGUGGGAUUUUGAAAUAAUCUGAACCAAGUUCAGACAAAGGAACAGUCUUUUGUUUGAUUCUUACCAUCUACGAUGGUCUGAAUUCUCCUUGUGGUAACCUAGAAGGUAACCCAUAAAGGACAAGAACUCUGUUCGAUUCGAAUAGAAUUCUCACCCAUGAGGAGUCAUCCUAAUCAUUUUCAAUGAUUGAGGAACUCUGUUCAAACAAAUUAGAAAUUUUUAUCCUCUGAUGAUAAUUUUUCUAAUUUUUUACUAAUUUUCAAAAUCGGUAGGGGAGCGUUCCGCUCUAGGGUGAAGCAUAAACGAAAGUUAAUGUGGACAAAGCGGAAGUGAGAAUGUCGGCUUGAGUAACGCAAACAUUGGUGAGAAUCCAAUGCCCCGAAAACCUAAGGGUUCCUCCACUAGGUUCGUCCAUGGAGGGUGAGUCAGGUCCUAAGGCCAGGCCGAAAGGCGUAGUCGAUGGAAAACAGGUUAAUAUUCCUGUACUUUUUUUUGGUUAGUACCGAGGGACGAAGUAGGCAAAAGUUAACCAAAAUUUGGUUCUUGGUGGAAGCAUUCAAGGUGUUGAGAGGUAGAAAAAAAACUAUCCUUGAGCUAAGGUGCGAUACGAUUUUAUUCCCUGAAUUGUUAUUUGAAUUUAUUCUGAAAGCAGUUCAUAUUAAAAUUUAACUAAUUGUCACAUUUCCUAGAAAAGCUCGCACUACUGUGUACCAAAAAUUACCUGUACCCGAAACCGACACAGGUAGGUGGGUAGAGUAUACCUAGGGGCGCGAGAUAACUCUCUCUAAGGAACUCGGCAAAAUGACCCCGUAACUUCGGGAGAAGGGGUACCCUUAUACAAAAUGAGGGUCGCAGUGACCAGGCCCAGGCGACUGUUUACCAAAAACACAGGUCUCCGCUAAGUCGUAAGACAACAUAUGGGGGCUGACGCCUGCCCAGUGCCAGAAGGUGAAGGAAGUUGGUUAUUCUUCGGAAAAAGCUAACAACCGAAGCCCUGGUGAACGGCGGCCGUAACUAUAACGGUCCUAAGGUAGCGAAAUUCCUUGUCGGGUAAGUUCCGACCCGCACGAAAGGCGUAACGAUCUGGGCACUGUCUCGGAGAGAGACUCGGUGAAAUAGACAUGUCCGUGAAGAUGCGGACUUCCUGCACCUGGACAGAAAGACCCUAUGAAGCUUGACUGUAGCCUGGAAUUGGUUUCGGGCUCUUCUUGCGCAGCCUAGGUGGGAGGCAUUGAAAAUUUUCUUCCGGGAAAAUUAGAGCCAUCAGUGAGAGACCACUCUAGAAGAGCUAGAAUUCUAAUAGUCAUCCUUGAAUCAGGAUGCUUGACAGUUUCAGGUGGGCAGUUUGACUGGGGCGGUCGCCUCCUAAAAAGUAACGGAGGCGUGCAAAGGUUUCCUCAGGCUGGACGGAAAUCAGCCGAAGAGUGUAAAGGCAGAAGGAAGCUUGACUGCAAGACCUACAAGUCGAGCAGGGGCGAAAGCCGGCCUUAGUGAUCCGACGGUACCGAGUGGAAGGGCCGUCGCUCAACGGAUAAAAGUUACUCUAGGGAUAACAGGCUGAUCUUCCCCAAGAGUUCACAUCGACGGGAAGGUUUGGCACCUCGAUGUCGGCUCAUCGCAACCUGGGGCGGUAGUACGUCCCAAGGGUUGGGCUGUUCGCCCAUGAAAGCGGUACGUGAGCUGGGUUCAGAACGUCGUGAGACAGUUCGGUCCAUAUCCGGUGUAGGCGGUAGAGCAUUGAGAGGAGCCUUCCAUUGUACGAGAGGACCUGGAAGGACACACCACUAGUAUACCAGUUCUCGUGCCAACGGGAAACGCUGGGUAGCCAAGUGUGGAGUGGAUAACUGCUGAAAGCAUCUAAGUAGGAAGCCCACCUCAAGAUGAGUGCUCUCUCGAGGUCACGGUAAGACUAGCCGUUUGAUAGGUGUUAAGUGUAAGGUCAGUAAUGGCUGAAGCUGAGACAUCCUAAUAGACCGAUUGAUUUUGAU